rnacentral:rRNA from 1 species
CGUAUUAGCUAGUUGGUGAGGUAACGGCUCACCAAGGCAAUGAUACGUAGCCGACCUGAGAGGGUAAUCGGCCACAUUGGGACUGAGACACGGCCCAAACUCCUACGGGAGGCAGCAGUAGGGAAUCUUCCACAAUGGACGAAAGUCUGAUGGAGCAACGCCGCGUGAGUGAAGAAGGGUUUCGGCUCGUAAAACUCUGUUGUUAAAGAAGAACAGGUGUAAGAGUAACUGUUUACACCGUGACGGUAUUUAACCAGAAAGCCACGGCUAACUACGUGCCAGCAGCCGCGGUAAUACGUAGGUGGCAAGCGUUGUCCGGAUUUAUUGGGCGUAAAGCGAGCGCAGGCGGUCUUUUAAGUCUGAUGUGAAAGCCUUCGGCUUAACCGGAGAAGUGCAUCGGAAACUGGGAGACUUGAGUGCAGAAGAGGACAGUGGAACUCCAUGUGUAGCGGUGAAAUGCGUAGAUAUAUGGAAGAACACCAGUGGCGAAGGCGGCUGUCUGGUCUGUAACUGACGCUGAGGCUCGAAAGCAUGGGUAGCGAACAGGAUUAGAUACCCUGGUAGUCCAUGCCGUAAACGAUGAGUGCUAAGUGUUGGA